AUUAGCGCCCCCUUUUUUUUCGGCCGUCAACAUUACUUAAUCUGACACUGUUUCUUUGAUGAUGAAUCAGCCAGGCCGACGGCCGUCGAAUACGGACUUUCUGGACUUCUCCAUAACGUCCAGAUGGCCAGUGCGCCCCUGUCAGUAGAGCAUUAGCUUUUAAGCACUACUCACUGGACAAUUCAUUCCCAAACUGUCGCCCUACAUUUUGCAAAAAAAGUAUUUAUUUAUUCAUUUAUUUAUUUUUUAUUUUUUUCAUAAGAUUGGCCUGCUUAUGAGGCUAAUAAUGUCUAUAUCUCCAGCAUCCUGGUGCAGAGAGUCACCAAAGAAACUUCACGCCGUAGUGGAUGUAAAACAUCAAACAUCAGCUGACAUGCAAACUAAAUGACACGUAUCUUUGUAUUUGAGAACCAGUCUGAUCACCAUCAGAACAAACCUCAGUGUUAUGUACAUAUAAUACAGAAACAUAAUACAAUAAUGAUAUAAGAAAGGCAAUACAAAAUGCUGUUUUUUGCAUGCCAGGUACUUGUUGGAUGAAUGUCAAAUUUAUGAAGACUGUUUGACUUUAGAAGCAGGUUUCUCUUUCACUUUCUUACAUCAGAAGGACGUCACUGGAAGAUCUGCAUUCUUAAAAGUGACGAUAACAACAUACAAUGUGUUAAGACAGCAGGAAUGUGUGAGAGUUCAGCAAAUGACAGUGUUUAAAUGCGUGACUCUAUAAAUAUAGCUGUGGCAAGAUCCACCUGUAAAUCUAUAGUAUACUGUGAAAAGUUUUAAAGACUUCUGCAAAAUGCUGUAAAGUUAAAAUCAAUACCACAACAUUUUUUUAAAACAAUUAACAUAUUAUGGUUAUUCUCACUUAUCAAAUGUGCUUUAUUAGUUUAAACACUUUGAUGCAUCGUACUAUGGUGGUUAAGCAGUGAGUUACAUUGUUGUUCGAGAAAGAUGACACACUAUCCCCUUCCAAUAAACUGGUGUUUUAGAAAGAAGAAUUCAUACUUCUGUGUAACUGGCAAUGACUUGACAUUUCCAUAGAUUUCAUUAGCUGUCAUAAGGUGGAUUCUGCUCCUCCCAUCUCAACAAAACUCUGUGUUUCCUCAUCAGCUGCGCAGUCUGUCAAACUUCUGUCAGGAGUAAACACUUCACUUUAACACAGAGAAGAUGAGAAAGAAAGAGACAGGUCUCUUUGAAGCUAAUCUUUUUGGAUUGUGACAAAGGCAAAAAAAAUUAAUUACAUUAAAACCGUCAGUAAAUAUUACCUUUGGAGGAUCUAUGAGGCAGAUCUUUAGAAAGAAAACAGAUCAGAAUGAGGACAGCAGGAGUAUAUCAGAUGUUAUUCAGAGUAACAUUUCACUGAGAAGGUCACGAAAUGAAGCUUAAGUUGCAUACUCAAGUAAGUCUGUUUACUCAUUUCAUUCACUGCUAUGUGAUCAUGUCAUACGGAACCAUUGGAGUUUAUGAUACUAGUAUUUCACCCUAAUUUUAGACUUUAGAAUUUUUAUACACAAUAUAGUCAAAUAAAACAUACAUUGAUAACAUUAAUCUGAAUUAGCCCCAGUGGGUUGGGACUAUGAUGAUCAGGUAAGUUUGAUAAAUUAUGAAUGAAAUGCUAUUUGGACAAACAUGCCGAAUUUC